rnacentral:rRNA from 1 species
GACGAACGCUGGCGGCGUGCCUAAUACAUGCAAGUCGAGCGAGCGGAACUAACAGAUUUACUUCGGUAAUGACGUUAGGAAAGCGAGCGGCGGAUGGGUGAGUAACACGUGGGGAACCUGCCCCAUAGUCUGGGAUACCACUUGGAAACAGGUGCUAAUACCGGAUAAGAAAGCAGAUCGCAUGAUCAGCUUUUAAAAGGCGGCGUAAGCUGUCGCUAUGGGAUGGCCCCGCGGUGCAUUAGCUAGUUGGUAGGGUAAAGGCUUACCAAGGCGAUGAUGCAUAGCCGAGUUGAGAGACUGAUCGGCCACAUUGGGACUGAGACACGGCCCAAACUCCUACGGGAGGCAGCAGUAGGGAAUCUUCCACAAUGGACGCAAGUCUGAUGGAGCAACGCCGCGUGAGUGAAGAAGGUUUUCGGAUCGUAAAGCUCUGUUGUUGGUGAAGAAGGAUAGAGGUAGUAACUGGCCUUUAUUUGACGGUAAUCAACCAGAAAGUCACGGCUAACUACGUG